rnacentral:rRNA from 1 species
GACGAACGCUGGCGGCGUGCCUAAUACAUGCAAGUCGAACGCAGUGGGGACGGGUGAGUAACACGUGGGUAACCUCCCAUCAGAGGGGAUAACACUUGGAAACAGGUGCUAAACCGAAAUUGAUGGAUGGACCCGCGGUGCAUUAGCUAGUUGGAGAGGUAACGGCUCCCCAAGGCAGAGACGCAUAUCCGACCUGAGAGGGGGAGCGGCCACACGGUGACUGAUGCACGGCCCAGACUCCUACGGGAGGCAGCAGUAGGGAAUCUGCGGCAAUGGACGAAAGUCUGACCGAGCAACGCCGCGUGAGUGAAGAAGUUUUUCGGAUCGUAAAACUCUGUUGUUAGAGAAGCGGUAUCUAACCAGAAAGCCACGGCUAACUACGUGCCAGCAGCCGCGGUAAUAC